rnacentral:lncRNA from 1 species
UGCGUGUCCGCCCCAAGAUCGGUUUGCCCACAAACAGCAGUUGAUGAGACCACAACAAUUUUCAUUCUUGUAUAAUAACAAUAGAGAAUGUUCAAGAUUGCAUCAUUGAUUUUAUAUUUAUACUAACUAGUUGUUUUUCCUUCAUUUCAUUCAUUUUAAUUUUUUUUUAUAAGUCUUUGAAUUUAGAUAAAAAAAAAAAAAAAAAACCUAGUAUGUAUGAAAAUUUUCUCAUCUCAAACAGCUAGUGGUUAUCAGAGAGGGGCAGCUGUCCUAGGCCUCAUGAUUUUAGGAGCCUCAGUUUAUAUAACUCAGUUUGUUCAAAGAAACUAUAUUUGUAUGUUUUUUAUACUGUUUGAGCUUCAAUGGUUAUCAAAAUUUGAAGUUAUCUAUCAGUGUUUUUGCUUUUCUUAUACACUUACCACUAUAUAUUUGUCAAUUUUUUCUUUGUUUUUUAAGGAC